rnacentral:rRNA from 1 species
UGUGCCAGCAGCCGCGGUAAUACAGAGGGUGCGAGCGUUAAUCGGAUUUACUGGGCGUAAAGCGUGCGUAGGCGGCUUUUUAAGUCGGAUGUGAAAUCCCCGAGCUUAACUUGGGAAUUGCAUUCGAUACUGGGAAGCUAGAGUAUGGGAGAGGAUGGUAGAAUUCCAGGUGUAGCGGUGAAAUGCGUAGAGAUCUGGAGGAAUACCGAUGGCGAAGGCAGCCAUCUGGCCUAGUACUGACGCUGAGGUACGAAAGCAUGGGGAGCAAACAGGAUUAGAUACCCUGGUAGUCCAUGCCGUAAACGAUGUCUACUAGCCGUUGGGGCCUUUGAGGCUUUAGUGGCGCAGCUAACGCGAUAAGUAGACCGCCUGGGGAGUACGGUCGCAAGACUAAAACUCAAAUGAAUUGACGGGGGCCCGCACAAGCGGUGGAGCAUGUGGUUUAAUUCGAUGCAACGCGAAGAACCUUACCUGGCCUUGACAUACUAGAAACUUUCCAGAGAUGGAUUGGUGCCUUCGGGAAUCUAGAUACAGGUGCUGCAUGGCUGUCGUCAGCUCGUGUCGUGAGAUGUUGGGUUAAGUCCCGCAACGAGCGCAACCCUUUUCCUUACUUGCCAGCAUUUCGGAUGGGAACUUUAAGGAUACUGCCAGUGACAAACUGGAGGAAGGCGGGGACGACGUCAAGUCAUCAUGGCCCUUACGGCCAGGGCUACACACGUGCUACAAUGGUCGGUACAAAGGGUUGCUACACAGCGAUGUGAUGCUAUCUCAAAAGCCGAUCGUAGUCCGGAUUGAGUCUGCACUCGACUCAUGAGUCGAUCGCUAGUAUCGCGGAUUCAGAAUGCCGC